rnacentral:lncRNA from 1 species
AGGAGAGGCAACCCGGCUCAGCUCCUCCUCGGUCCCCGCGCCAGCUUGGCGAUUCACCGCCGAAGGAGCAGGGCGCUUCUACCGCUUCCACCGAAGCAGGAAGGACGGAAGGGGAAGCCAGACAGAAAAAUAUCCACAGGAAAAUAUCGUGUUAAGAACAUCUGAAAACAUUCUUAAGGAUCAACCAGAUGCAAACGCAGGGAGCUGGCUGCCAAUAUAAAGUCUGUCUUCCGCUCUGCCCGCCUAUACGAAAUGCUCCCAGAGACAAUGUGAGAAGGCCUGCAAUUUUCUGUGCUUCUGGCAAUGGAAAGGAGAAGUAGAUAAGGAAAGAUCCCCCUCCAGAUGAUGAAUGCUACCCGAGCUCAUAUCGGUGAAGGGAACCUGUGCUAUUCGGUCGAAUGCAACCGCCCUUGCAAGACGUGGCUUGUCAGCGCUACUCAUCGAAGUGUAAACCCAUCUCUGAAGACCUGGCAGGCAGAAGUACUCUCCCCACCCCAACCCCACCCACGGACUUUGCAGCAUCAGUCCAUUUGUACACUCGGAUCUCUAAGGAAAACAGCAUCAUCGACGUGAAUGACAGCUGCAGCGGGAGCCGGGGAGCGGGCGGUCAGAUGCUCCGCCGGGGCUGUCCACUCCGCGGGCACUGAAAACGUCAGGGAAGGUCUCUCUUGGAGCCAACGCGGACUUGACAAAACAGUUGACAAUUAGGGCAAAGCACGUACGGCAGAAUCAUUAGAACCCACAGAAGCCCCGGCCCCAGCGGCGACACCGCGGCGUGGCGAUGCCCCCGUGGCUUCGGAAAUACCCGCUAUCCCUUUAAAAAGUACCCCCCGCAGGCCGGAAGUGACCGCUCGGCGCCACGAGUCGAGCCCCUCGGUGCAGCACGGCCUCGAGCCUCGCGCACGUCCGCGGUCCCGUGGGUUUCCUGCUCUUGCUGCAGUUCUCCGCCGCCAGUCCUCUCCGCGCGGGCAGUUCGGUCACUAAAUCUCAGAGACCCGGCGCCUCCCCCAAGCUCCAGCCUACGCCAGGCCUGCUUCCGGGUUCGGCCUGCGCUCCCGGCCCGCUCUAGUGACGCACUUCCGGUGGUGACCAGGCUUGGCUCCGCCCCAAGCUGACACGCGGGCUGAUCGGGUUCCCAGCCGUGCACUGUGCUGGGAGGACAGCGAAUUCCUGCACCGGGGACCAACUGCUCCGCCACGGCUCGGUCUCUGGGGUUUCUUACCGUCCUGGGCGGAAAUGGAUAGAAUCCGCCAGACCACACGACCCGGGGCCUAACUCUCCAGCCCUGUGACCGCGGCCGUCUGUGUCAAGCUCUCCCUUGGCUCUGCCCAGGGCCCUUGUCGCUUGGCGCUGGGACCUUCAGAAGUUGAAAGGGUUUGCCAGAGGCAUCUCAACCACCCUUUCUUAGACUGGCUUUGAAAUGGUGUCACCCACCCUCUUGGACUGAAUAUCUCAGGUCAUCUUAGGGUUUCCUCCCGGAAUUACUUAGUUUUACACAUUCUGGUUCAUCCUCUUCUCAAAGGUUGUUUUUUGGAUCGAGAAGUUCAGGCAGAAAGCGUUCACUUUCAGUUUUUCCUUGUAUCUCUCACGAUGCUGUAUGACUUGACCUCAUAAUCUGGUGUCUGGUUAAGUAUAAAACUAUUCUUUACUUCUCACCCCUCCACAGGGCUGUUUGGAUUGUUUCUUUUGUAAUAACGUAUUAUACCGUUUAGAAAACACAGGAAACACAGCUUGGGCGAGUUGGGUGUUUCCUGCUGAAAAUUGUGAAUAUAACGUUUCAUGAGACUGACAACAUCGCAAAGACCGGGAUGGGGAUGGCAUUAGAUGCAAAAUGAUUGGCUUAGAUGGAAGAUGUUUUUUCAGC